rnacentral:lncRNA from 1 species
CAACUGUAAGAGCAAGGUGCCGACAUAACAUGCUUUAGUGAUUUUACCAUCUUCUGAUGUAAGGAGGAGUCCAGGGAGAUGUUGUCUCAGAUCAUGAGCUCCAGGAGGUCAGCAACUCUCUUCACCACUGAAUUACCAAAACAAUGCCUUGUUUAUAUCAGGCACUAUGUAGAUGCUCACAGAAGGACUGACUAGAUGAACUUGGUAAGUGGAGGAAGAAAUACCCACCCAGUGUGAUUGUAGAACAUAAGAGUCUAGGCUGGAUGACUUUUUGAUGUCAUUCAAAGCUCCACCUUUUGUGUGUAACUAAAAUAC